rnacentral:sRNA from 1 species
AAAACCAAAAAAAAAC